CGAGAAGGACCGUCAACAGAGCUUCUUACUACCACUCUUUGGACAAGUAGACAAGCAUGUCUAGGAUGCCUUAGAGAGGGUGUUCUGUCAUGGUCCUGCCGGUGCAGCCCUGGCUGUGCGGGUGGCCGCACUGAUUGGGAUGCGCACACCUGCGCCUCAUCCUGGCUGAUUGGCCCCGGCUGACUCCCUUGAUACUCCUGCCUGCUGUGAUCGUUCUCCUGUGUACCGACUCCUGCCUGCCCGCUGACCUGCUCUCUACGCCCAACGUCCCGACUACUGCUGAUCCCGACCUUGUAAUAAUAAAUGUUUUUCCUGAA